rnacentral:tRNA from 1 species
CAAGACGUAGCUAUAAACCCAAAAGCAUUCAGCUUACACCUGAAAGAUGCUUCCACAAUACGAAGCCGCCUUGA